rnacentral:tRNA from 1 species
GCACCUCCUGCGGCACCGGCCUCGAGCCAGGACGGCUUCACGAGCGCUGGGGCCCCCGCGCCUGACUCGGCCGAUCGUUUCGGCGAGGUGCCC